CCCCCAGUCAUCAGACUUUUGUUAGUGGAGAAUCUGCCAGAAAGGAGUUCACUGCCUCUUCACUGCUCCACCAUGAUCUUGGUGUUCACCUUGAUGCUGGAGGUGCUCCUGUUCCUGGGAGGAGCCGGAGCCCAGUCAGUGACCCAGCCUGACAGGCACGGCAUCACUGUCCCUGAAGGAGCCCACCUGGAGCUGAGGUGCAGCUACUCAUCCUCUUAUCCACCGUAUCUCUUCUGAUAUGUGCAGUACCCCAACCAAGGACUCCAGCUUCUCCUGAAGUACACGUCUGGAAACAGCCUUGUUUCAGGCAUCAAAGGUUUUGAGGCUGAAUUUAGGAAGAAUCAAACCUCCUUUCACCUGAGGAAAAUGUCAGCCCAUUGGAGCGACUCGGCAGAGUACUUCUGUGCUCUCAGUGACACAGGACGAAGCACGAUGGAAGAUUCAGUGCCACGACAGACACGCAAGAACGCCGCAGCUCCUUGA